rnacentral:lncRNA from 1 species
UCGCCCUUCUACAUUUGCAACUGUCCUUCUUGCACAAACGAAUAUACCCGAUGCAGAUGGUUUCAUACAUUUCUCGCAGUCUUUUCAUCUAAGAACUUACAUUCUCGAAUCCAACUCCUCCGAUUCAUAAGGUAUUUCGACUGCAAUCUCUUUCUCUUUCAAGUUUCAUCAUCGACUUCUCCCACUCUUACUCAAUUUAUUCUCAAUUUUGACAAAACUGUUUCUUGAUAUGCAAAAUUUUCUGAUUUCUGAUUUCGUUUCCGACUCUCUGCAAUUGAUGUUUCCGCUGUCUUCUCUUCCAAGAAUUAACAGUUUUGACUCCAACUCUUCCGAUUGAUAAGGUAUAUCAAUUGCAGUCUCUUUCUCUUUCAUCUUCUGAUCAUCGAUUUUCCCCAAUGUUUCUGAAUUUGUUCAACUUAUCGACAAAAAAAACUUCUUAAUGUGUACAUUUUCUGAUUUUUGAUUUCGUUCUGAAUCUCUAGAAUUGGCAUCCCCGCCGUCUUCUCCUCUAACAAUUUACUCUGUAGUGUUUAUUCUCCAAGCGAAGACCCUCUUUUGCAAUUAUCACACCUCCCCGCCCCCUCCAGUGGAAACGAUAAUAUCUCAUUCUUGCAAUUGUAGUGAAAGCGGCACCGGUGGCGAUGGUGGCUUCCACACAACCGUCUUCCGAUUGAUGCAAGAGGAUUGGUCCAUCUGUUGCUCCUGUAUUAUAGGGCUCUAUCAAUUUGGGCAACGAUUUUGAGCAAUCGCUAACGAAUUUUGUUGGAGGUCGGCAAUUUCCAUUUAAAGACGUAAAUGCCCUGAGAAGAUUUCGAUCGUCAAGUCUAAGAAGAAAAAGAGCGUCGCCAUGCUUUGCGUAAGGUCGAUUCAAUAUGUAUUUUCUGAAAUAGCUCCAUUAUAUUUCCUCUUUUGUUUCAUUCAACAACAUAAUUGUGCAAUUGACGUAAGAUGAAAUUAGGGCUUUUUGUUUUGGUUUUAUAUUAUUCAAUUUCUCAAAAGAUCAAGAAUUUGGGGAAUCAUGGACUUCCUUAUUGGUCUGAUGUGUUUAGCAGUGUUGGAAGUUUACUCCCUAUCAAUGGAGGGAAGGCUGCUCAACAGACCAAUUUAUCAUCAAUGGUUCCUCAUUUCUUCUUUUUUCUAAAGAUUGAACUGACAUUUCUUCUUUGUUCCAAAGACUGACCUAACAUUCGAGUAAUUUUCACUGCUAAUCUUUGUCUUUGAGAAGUAGUGCAUCAUCUAAACGAAAAUUUGAUAUUUUCCUGUUAAUCUUGUAGAAGAUUGGAGAAUUGAUUUUAAAAGGGGGUCACUUCUAUGUGUACGCUUAUCUUUUUGUUUUUUUUGGACAACUGUAGGAAUAGGAUCAUCUAAAGACACUAUUGUGAGCAUCCGUAGACCAAGACUUAUCAAAAACAGCCUCAUAUAGUUGUGUAGAUUAAGUGCUUUACCCAUUAACUCUAUUAAGUGAAAAGGAAGCUCAUUAGUGUCCAAUUAUGCAAGCCUAACCAUAAAUACCAUGGAGUAGAGAUUUUGAUGCCACUAAUUUGCGAUUGAGGAUAGGAGAAGGAAGAAGAGCUCCUACAAAUGGGGUAUUUUGAAAAACCUUAUCUUAAACUUAAAACCUCGAACUGCUCCUAAGUUAAUUUACAUUUACGUCCUUUAUUUGCUUUUGCAUUACAUACAACAUUGAAGUAAUGAUGUCGUUUCUUUCUACUCAUACAUGUUAUGGAUUCAAGGUUAUUAGCUAAAUUAUGCCCUCAAUCACUAUACUUUCAGGUACAACACAUUCAUGCACAUGUGGUCUCCUGCUGGUCAAACCGGAUUGUUUGGAAUGCAUGAAGUUAUGAAUCACGGUUGCGAUUUCAUAAAUGGACAAGGAAGCAAAAAAAGAUGGAUCUAACAGAGUAACAAUAAUAGGGAAGUGUGACUUCUAGCUCAUACUAAAAUUACUUUAUCUAUGCAUUAUUUGAUUUUAUUUAAUCCUUUUAUUAUUGUCACAAAAUUUUUUGAUUUCCGAAUAUAUCAACAGUUACCUAAAAACAAAAAAAGCUUCAUCAUAUUCCCAUUAAAACCUAGCGUGUUUGAGAACCCAUAAAUGACUAUUAAACACAGAUAAUCUUUUUUCAAUAAAUACGUUGUCCCGUGGUGAACCACGGGAUCACCUCCUAGUUAGUA